rnacentral:lncRNA from 1 species
CUGGUCUACAGAGCGAGUGCCAGGAUAGGCUCCAAAGUUACAGAGGAACUUUACCUCAGAAAAAAAAAAAGAGUUCCAAGAGUCUGGAACUCAGGACUCGGAGGAUGUGUUGGACUGACUGAUGCUACAGAGCGUUGGGAAAACUGCAAAGUGGCUUCAGCUGCUGCCAACGAAGGCACUGCAAAUGCCAGGUCGAAGAAGUGUUGCUAGGGCGACGCUACAGGAACAGGAAGCCACUAGGAAUCAGCAAGUCCCCUCUUCCUGCGGCUGCUUUCCCAUCGUCUGCCCUGUACUCUUCCGGGCAGCACACAUCAGGAAGCGGCUGUGGUCUUCCGAGCCAGCUCCGGCGUCACACACACGGCAUGGAAGGCGGAUGUGGCAUUAAGAGGCAAUAGCUUCGCUAACAGAAAGACAGACUAACACAAGUGAAGGAAUGCUCAAACUUCCAGAGCUAAAGGAUACAGUUGAAAGGGCCAGAGAAGUGAGCCUGCUGGAAGAAAGGCCCCGCUUAAAACCACAGGGCCCCUUGGGGGCUGCAGAGAUGGUUCAGCAGUGAAGAACACCGGACUGCACUUCCAGAGGACCACGGUUCAAUUCCCAACACCAACAGCCUGUGACUCCAGCUCUGUCUGGGCCCAUCGGAAUGACUCCACUUCAUCUUGACUUAAGGGCUGAGUUACAGAGCCACACUGUGCCGUGAAGGAAGCCGGAAAGUUCCAGUUCUAGCAGACCAGCUACUCUCCAAUUGCUUCUCUACUACCAGCAACAAACAGGAGGAGGGCUUUUGAUGGCCAACUAUUGAUUCUACCUCACUCCCAUUUUCUGCACCUAGGUGCCUUCUUUUGUAAAAUGGUUAAGACUGCUUUGAGACUCACAUCCAAUGAUGCACCAAGUGUAAGAAUGCCUUCUUGUUUUUCCAUCAAGUCCACAAAAUGCAUAGUAUAUUUCAGACCCUAGUAAAAAGGCCCACAUCUAUCAGUAUAUAUACACUGAACAACAAAGCCUGUUUCAUAUAUCACCAAGCCUUUUCUCCUAUUUCUUUCCAGUUGCUUCAAUAACUUAGACUCCUUUCUGUUUGGGAAAAAAAGGGGGUGGUGGAAUAUGUGUCAAUAUAUCAGUCAGGACUCUUUAGGUUGCCAAGUGAAAGUCUGCCACUAUGAAACUUGCUUAAGCAACAAGACGGACCAUCUUACA